rnacentral:lncRNA from 1 species
AGAAAAUUAGGCUAACAGGCCUUGCGCGUGCGCAAUCAUCCCCUACGCUGGCCAGCAGCCGUUCGUGGCCCAGCGUCAGCGGGUCGUAUGCGUGUGUGCCUUGUCAAAAGAAAACGAAGCUCGGUGUCUUUUGUCUAGAGCUGCGCUCCUCGCCGACUAGGACUUCACAACGGUAGAUUAUCUGCGUCGCAGUCUCAGGCAUUCCUUUCAUCCUUACUGUGUAGACGAAAAUGCUGGAGUCUGAGUUCUUUCAAGAUUUAGGUGGGACGAGCUGUUGCCCGCUUGAGCCUGUCUUCCACAAGGUAGAACUGAGGCUCUAACCGCGCUUCACUCUUGAUUGUGGAAAUGCGUCUAGGGAAUAUGUCCUCUUGUUUCAUGGAAGGAACACCUGCUAAUUUCGAGACCGUUGCCACUGCCACUGCUUUCCGUCUGGUUUUUCGCAUGGAAACCGUUUUCUUCAAGUCACCAGCAGUGCUGUCUUCUGCAGGUCACCAGCAGUACCGUCUUCAACGCCUUUUGUACCCAUGCCACGACAGGGAAGUAUCAUAGACCCACCGACCCCUGGGUACCAGGAGUGAUAAUGUGUAAGAAUGUCUUUUUUCUUUGGGCAAGGUCAUGCAUUUGUCGCUGGCUGUAUAGGAGAAACUCUUCACUGUUGGAACUCUCCCGACGUUUCGUCGACAUCGUGGUGUGCGAGUGAAAAAGUGGAGCGUUGAUAUUAUCAACACGCAGUGGUUUCGAUUGCAGGAGAAUCCAUCAAAACUGACUGGUGCCGCUUCCUUUGCCAUACACAGCGUACAAGAAGCAACGACACUGCCACGACGUCACUCGUUGUCUUGGCCUGUGCUCAAAACGUCGUUUUCGGUUUUCGCACUCUGGACGCAGGGGAGGGGGGCGCUGUGGCAUUCAAUCUGCGACAAAGGUAAUGCACGGUUCACAGUUGCUCGUAUGGGUGAAUCGGCGGUUGCCCUAGUUCCAAAGCUGGGAUCUUAUUCCCCUUGGGCAACAAGGAGUUCCAUUUCCUGCGGUGUGACGUCCUGAAGCGCUGAUCUCGACCGGGCGUGGC